rnacentral:rRNA from 1 species
GAUGAACGCUAGCGGCAGGCUUAACACAUGCAAGUCGAGGGGCAGCAGGGGUAGCAAUACUCGCUGGCGACCGGCAAACGGGUGCGGAACACGUACGCUAACAUACCUUUUACCUGGGGCAGUAGCCUUCUGAAAAGAAGAGUUAACACCCAUAAUAUCAAAUGACUGGCAUCAGUCGAUGAUUAAAAUUUAUUGGUAAGAGAUUGGCGUGCGUCCUAUUAGCUAGUGGUAUGGGUAAUGGCCUACCAAGGCGACGAUAGGUAGCUGGUGUGAGAGCACGACCAGCCACACGGGCACGUGAGACACGGGCCCGACGUCCUACGGGAGGCAGCAGUGAGGAAUAUUGGACAAU